rnacentral:rRNA from 1 species
GUGAGGAAUAUUGGUCAAUGGACGAGAGUCUGAACCAGCCAAGUAGCGUGAAGGAUGACUGCCCUAUGGGUUGUAAACUUCUUUUAUAAGGGAAUAAAGUGAGGGACGUGUCCCUUUUUGUAUGUACCUUAUGAAUAAGGAUCGGCUAACUCCGUGCCAGCAGCCGCGGUAAUACGGAGGAUCCAAGCGUUAUCCGGAUUUAUUGGGUUUAAAGGGAGCGUAGGUUGACAUAUAAGUCAGCUGUGAAAGUUUACGGCUCAACCGUGAAAUUGCAGUUGAUACUGUAUGUCUUGAGUGUACAAGAGGUGGGCGGAAUUCGUGGUGUAGCGGUGAAAUGCUUAGAUAUCACGAAGAACUCCAAUUGCGAAGGCAGCUCACUGGGGUACAACUGACACUGAGGCUCGAAAGUGUGGGUAUCAAACAGGAUUAGAUACCCUAGUAGUCC